AAGCCUACUCUAGCCCGACCCCCCCCCACCAAUUCACCUUCCCCAUCAAACUAAAGCAUUCCCCUCCAGGAUUUAGUAUAGGCGAUAGAAAAGUCCCCUCCACCCGGCGCGAUAGAGACCAUGUACCGUAAGGGAAAGAUGAAAUAACAAUGAUAAACCAAGCACCCAACAGCAAAGACUAACCCUUGUACCUUUUGCAUCAUGAUUUAGCAAGAAUCGACCAAGCAUAAUGCCAACUUAAGUUUGCAACCCCGAAACCCAAGCGAGCUACUUACGAACAGCUAUUUAAUGAGCAAACCCGUCUCUGUUGCAAAAGAGUGGGAUGAUUCGCCAGUAGUGGUGAAAAGCCAACCGAGCUGGGUGAUAGCUGGUUGCCUAUGAAACGAAUCUAAGUUCUCCCUCAAUUCAUCUCCAAGGACCUCACUUAACCCCCAUGAAGCGAAUUAAGGACUAUUUAAAGGAGGUACAGCUCCUUUAAAAAAGAUUACACUCUCCCCCAGCGGAUAAACCAAUCUACUCCUCCCUACUGUGGGCCUUCCAGCAGCCACCACCAAAGAGUGCGUCAAAGCUCCAUAUAAAAAAUUUUCAAACCUUAUGACUCCCUCCCCCAUAAUAGGCUAUCUUAUCCAAAAAUAAGAGAACUCAUGCUAAAAUAAGUAACUAGGGACACCCCCUCCACGGCGCAAGCUUACAUCUCUACAUUAUUAACAAACCCAGAUACCCCCAACUAACAACAAGACUAGAUAUCAAAAACUCUGUUAACCCACCUAUGGAGCGCCCCAAGGAAGAUUAAAAUUCGUAAAAGGAACUAGGCAAAUCCAAGGCCCGACUGUUUAUCAAAAACAUAGCCUUCAGCAAACCAAGUAUUGAAGGUGAAGCCUGCCCGGUGACAAUACGUUUAACGGCCGCGGUAUCCUAACCGUGCAAAGGUAGCGCAAUCAAUUGUCCCAUAAAUCGGGACCUGUAUGAAUGGCCAAACGAGGUCUUAACUGUCUCUUACGAAUAAUCAGUGAAAUUGAUCUCCCUGUGCAAAAGCAGGGAUAACCCCAUAAGACGAGAAGACCCUGUGGAACUUUAAAAUCAGCAGCCAUCCUCCCAUAUAACCCUCCCACUGGGUAUAUCCCUUUGAACUCCACUGGCCUGCAUUUUUUGGUUGGGGCGACCUUGGAGAAAACCUACCCUCCAAAGACCAGACCACACCUCUUAACCAAGAACAACACAUCAACGUACUAAUAGUAACCAGACCCAAUAUAAUUGACCAAUGGACCAAGCUACCCCAGGGAUAACAGCGCAAUCUCCCCCAAGAGCCCCCAUCGACAGGGAGGUUUACGACCUCGAUGUUGGAUCAGGACAUCCUAGUGGUGCAGCCGCUACUAAGGGUUCGUUUGUUCAACGAUUAAUAGUCCUACGUGAUCUGAGUUCAGACCGGAGCAAUCCAGGUCGGUUUCUAUCUAUGAUAAACUCUUUCCAGUACGAAAGGACAGAAAGAGUAAGGCCUAUACCAAAAGCACGCCUUCGCCCAAGUAAUGAACUCAACUAAAUUACUAAAAGCUAUACCUCCUCACAUUAAUCCUAGAAAAGGACCG
rnacentral:rRNA from 1 species